rnacentral:rRNA from 1 species
ACGGCUCAGUAACACGUGGACAACCUACCCUGAGGUCGGGGAUAAACCCGGGAAACUGGGUAUAAUACCCGAUAGAUCUAGAUUGCUGGAAUGCUUUUAGGUCUAAAGUUCCGACGCCUCAGGAUGGGUCUGCGGCCUAUCAGGGUGGUAGUGGGUGUAAAGUACCUACUAGCCUACGACGGGUACGGGUUGUGAGAGCAAGAGCCCGGAGAUGGAUUCUGAGACACGAAUCCAGGCCCUACGGGGUGCAGCAGGCGCGAAACCUUUACAAUGCUGGCAACAGCGAUAAGGGGACCUCGAGUGCUACGAUACAAUCGUGGCUGUCUAGUUGCCUAAAAAGCAAUUGAUAGCAAGGGCCGGGCAAGACCGGUGCCAGCCGCCGCGGUAACACCGGCGGCUCGAGUGGUAACCGCUAUUAUUGGGUCUAAAGGGUCUGUAGCCGGCUUAGUUAGUCUCUUGAGAAAUCUGGCCGCUCAACGGUCAGGCGUUCAGGGGAUACUGCUAAAGCUCGAGACCGGGAGAGGUGAGAGGUACUUCAGGGGUAGGGGUGAAAUCUUGUAAUCCUUGAAGGACCACCAGUGGCGAAGGCGUCUCACCAGAACGGAUCUGACGGCAAGGGACGAAAGCUAGGGGCACGAACCGGAUUAGAUACCCGGGUAGUCCUAGCCGUAAACGAUACUCGCUAGGUGUCGGCCACGGUGCGACCGUGGUCGGUGCCGUAGGGAAGCCGUGAAGCGGGCCACCUGGGAAGUACGGCCGCAAGGCUGAAACUUAAAGGAAUUGGCGGGGGAGCAC